CAAAUAUGAUGGGACACAGUCUCAUUUGCUAAAGUAACACAAGGUUCAGCCAAUGUUUUUUUCCAGACAAUCCAGUGAGCCUUAACGAUUCUUGGAUUUUUUUUCUCUGACACCUCAAAGCAUCCCACACUAUGUCAUCUGAUACAUGUGGACAAUGACUGAACAUAAAAACUCUGGUGCCUGAUCAAGGUGCCACCUUUAGAAGACCUUUCAUAUGUCAUAUUCCUGAAGCAAUUCCUAACCUCAGGUACUGUACAGUCAAUAGCAUACAAUAGCCAAAUGCUGACUUCCUCUAGCCGCUGUUGCCUAGUGCAUCUUGUAGUAUUAGAUGUAGGUGUUUUCUGCUUCAUUUUAGUGUUGCUACUCUUUAUGCAUUUCUACUAUGAUUGACUGAUGCUCUUUUUAUAUGAACUUCUUUCAGAAGACUAAGCUUCUUCAGCAGAGCAUUGCUGCUUCAACACACCAGCCCAAUUGCUUGGAGGCAUUUUUAAGAAAAGCAUGCGCUUCCUGCACAAAAUGUUCAGAUUAUCUGAACUCAAAAACCAGCAACAAUGAAUAUCUACCAUCAGGAAUCAAUUUUUAAAAAAACAUAUUUUCUUUCCAAAAAACAAAUUAUUUUACUGGGGUUUUUCUUCUUUUUCUCUCCUUUGUUUUUAAAAUUCUAGUCCCUGGUAUCACUCCGAAUUUAGUUCUGUCCACCAUGCUCACUCUAUCUUCAAAACUUACAUGCAGAGACUGUCUGAAUGGAAUUUAUGCAGCCAGCUGUACUGUGUUGCUUUCUUUAAUAAAGUUCUGCCACACAAA